GCUGUACAGGUGCAAAUCUCUCAUUAACUCUUAAAUAGUGGUGAAAUAAACAAUGGCUUUUCUCUGACUUUAUUUAAGGGAGUAUACUUCAAAGCUGCUGUGGAAUUACUCUCCUCCACAAUGGAGGAGUUUUAUUAAGCUGAGCUAUAUUAUGUAGUGAUACGCUUGUCCUAGGAAUGCAUGUAGUUUAAAAGUUUAUAUCUAUGCACAGAUUUAGUGGUAAGUUUUCAGUCUCCCAGGUGUGUUUCUGAAGAAGUAGAAAAGAAAGAAAAUCUUAGUAAGGGUCCCCAGCAGCUCUCAGGUGCCUGGAUUCAUGUGCCUAUAUGUACUCAACAUGUCCUGAGAGGUAGUACUCACACUGAGCUGGUGUAAAUAUAAUGAACUGGUGGUGUAAUUGGGAAGCCGAUUGAAUUUCUUGCACAUUGGUAGUUAGACAAAUGUAAAAAUCAUUUUUAAAGUUAAUUUUUUAUCCAUGUUGAACACAGGUGAGAAGGUUGGCCUCAGGAUUUUGCUUUGUAAUCCAGGUCAGAAAAAAGGCUCUGUGGUUUAAAGAAUAUUGUUUCUAAUACUGGCAAACAGCUAAAAGGACUUAUGUUGUGUCAAGUAUUAUUCUAGAAGCUCAAAAAAAGUUAACUUAUUUAAUCUUACCAGAAAUCUUUGAAGAAGCUAUCAAUUUGCCCACUCCUGUAAGUGAUGAAACCACUAUGGUCUGUGAUCAUUGUUAUAAUAACUGAGACCUUAACCAGGGUUUUUCCUGACAGGAGAAAUAGAGAGCCUGUAUUCAGAGACCAAACUGGCCAGGUUCAAAUCUUGCUUUGGUUCUUCUAUCUGCAUGACCAUGGCUCUGAUAUUUGAUGGCCCUCUGUCUUGGUGUCCUUCUUUCUUUAUUAAAAAUUUUUUUUAGUUUUAGUUGGAUACAAUAUCUUUUUAUUUUUAUGUGGUACUGAGGAUUGAACCCCGAGCCUUACACAUGCUAGGCAAGUACUCUACCACUUGAGCCACAACAGCAGCCCUGGUGUCCUCAUUUCUUAUUUGACAACCUGACUUUAGCUAAUAACUGCCUACCUAGCAUGGCUGUUGUGAUGACUGGAGGAAUUAAUGUCUGUAUCA
rnacentral:lncRNA from 1 species